rnacentral:misc_RNA from 1 species
AGAAGAAGGAACAUGGAGGAUUAGAAACCCUAAAAAAAAUCUGACAUUGAAAUUGAAGAAAUGCCAUUCAAUGGAGUAUUGCUGGUGUCUGUAGCUAAAGCAUCAGCAGAAGUUUGGCAAUUUUUGUCAUGUCUAGCAGACCCAAUUGACAGCGAAGAGCUUUUGGAUCUGGUCAUCUUCUUCCCUCUUCAACAAUUGGGUCGUUUAGCUCUUUGUGUUUGGACUUUCCUUUGUGUCCCUCCUGACCCUUAUUACUAUCGCCGUUACAAUUCUUCUGCUGCUUCUUCAUCUUCGUCGCUUUAUGAUGACCAUGAUUUUGUUGCUUCGCCUCCUCCCCAAUAUUACUAUGAUGAUUCUUCUUCACGUUCGGAUUGACCAUCAUUGCCUAAUCUAUUCAACUUGUAAAGUUCCCUUCUUCCCUACCUUAUUUUCCUGCUAUUUUGCUUUUUUGUACCUGUUGUUG